rnacentral:pre_miRNA from 1 species
GUCAAAUCUCCCAUUAUUCCUUGUUUUACGAGGUCGAGCAUGGUGAUCUCUAAGGCUCGAGCAAUGAUUAAUUUGAUCCCUGUGUCCAGCUCAUGUGUUCACUGAAAAUCACCAGACUCAACCUCGUAAAACACAGGAAUGAUGGGAGACUUGUAC